rnacentral:rRNA from 1 species
AGUGAACGCUGGCGGCGUGCCUAAUACAUGCAAGUCGAACGAAGUGGCGCACGGGUGAGUAAUAUACAGUUAAUCUGCCCUACACCGAGGAACAACAGUUGGAAACGGCUGCUAAUACCUCAUAGUGUAGGAUGAGACUAUAUCGUAUCAGCUAGUUGGUAAGGUAAUGGCUUACCACGGCUAUGACGCGUAACUGGUCUGAGAGGAUGAUCAGUCACAUUGGAACUGAGACACGGUCCAAACUCCAACGGGGGGCAGAAGUAAGGAAGAUGGCGCAAUGGAGGAAACCCUGACGAAGCAACGCCGCGUGGAGGUUAACACUUUUCGGAGCGUAAACUCCUUUUAUCAGGAAAGCGGUACCUGAUGAAUAAGCACCGGCUAACUCCGUGCCAGCAGCCGCGGUAAUAC